AUGUAUCCAGCUGAGGUUGCAGGUGUUCUUCUCCCCGCGGCGUACUUGCCGCCACCUCCAAACGCAGCCUCUUUCGGACCCCAUUAUCCCUACCAGAUAGCGGAAGACGAUCAUCUCCUGUUCCAGUGCGGCGGCAGCAGUCUAAUGCAGUUGCCCUACGCCGACGAGCUGUUUCUCAACCACCCUCCGGCGGGGCUGCCCAACAGGUCGAGCUCCGACGAGCCAGCGUCCCACGCCGUAGACCGGCAGCGCGCCGAGGAGAGGAGGAAGAGGCGGAUGGUGUCCAACCGGGAGUCGGCGCGGCGGUCGCGCGUGCGGAAGCAGAAGCAGCUGGGCCAGCUGUGGGCGCAGGUCGUCCACCUCCGGGACGCCAACCGUGACCUGCUCGACCAGCUCAACCGCGCCAUCGUGGACUGCGACCGCGUCGUGCGCGACAACUCCCGGCUGAGGGACGAGCGGGAGGAGCUGCAGCGGAGGCUCCGGGAGCUCCCUGUGGUCGAUGCCGGCGACGCGGAGGGCGUCGCCGUUGGUGAAGAUGACCAGUCUACAGUCUAG
rnacentral:rRNA from 1 species